AAUAAGCGCAACCAUGAGUGAGUUUUUUUGCUCAACUUUGAUCGUCCGUCUUAUUUAAAAAUUUUUAUGAUUAGUAUUUUUAUUGAUAUUAGAUUAUAAAACAUGAAUAGUAUUUUAUGCGUGACUAUUUUUUUUAGUUUUUUUAAAAAAUUAAUAAAUAAGACGAAUAAUUAAAGUUGGAUAAAAAAACUCAUGGCUGUACUUAUU
rfam:Oryza rufipogon genomic scaffold, chr07